rnacentral:lncRNA from 1 species
GCCAUAGCUGUCCAUUUUUACCAUCACCCACUGUAAAGGCUCAGUGUCGAGCUACCGCCAUGGCUGCUUAUUGCUUCCUCUGAGGUUGCUCCCGUUCAGAGAACUGGGACUAGGAGUGUUUUCAGGUUGAUGGACUUUUUCAGACUCAAAGUUACGUUACCAGACUAUCCUCCCACUUCCCCCAGUUUAGCUGAGUUGGUUGUUAUCCAGAACCCUUUGGCUAAACCCACUGAAGGCACGUUUCUAGAUGGUGCUGUGUGUGGUUGAUACAUUGCUUUCGUGUUUUAAAUUUAAGGAAAUUUUCUAUCUGAUAUUUUUCCAAAUUAAGUAAGUUGUAGAAUGAGAUUGGCGGAUGUGGGGGCGGCCAUCUGGUAGGGGAAAGGUACAGAGAUUCAUCUGAAUACAGCUUAGACAUUGGCUGGACAGGAAGAUGGGGUGUAGGUCUCUGGUGUCCCUCCCCCUGCUGUGCUGAUCAGUCCCUCCAACUACCACUAGGACAUUCUUUAGUAGGUCCAUCUUGCUGUCACUUCAUUCUGUGACUAGAAAGUCAGUGGAAAGUAAAUGUGCCAAACUAGCUUGUCAGAAUUCGUGAGCAGAUGGCCGAGUCCGCUCCUCCCCAGAGGGAACAAACAGUGUCAGGGAAAGAGGGGAGGAAGAGGAGGGAGAGCCAGAGAGAUGCUGACUUGCAGCUCCAUGAGUCAUGGAACGUGGUCUAGAAAAUGAAGUUAGGGUCGUUUCUGGGAAGAGAAGACCAGAGGAUGCUCUAGUCUUUAGCUUGUUCACUUUGUAAUGAUUCUAAAAUAAUUCCAAAGAUAUAGCAGCUCAUAAGUUAUCAAAGUCCAGCCUCACCCCCUGCCAAGGGGAGAGAUGUGUUUCCACUACAGUCUCUCCCAGCACAUCCCCAGGUUGGUGUGGGUAGGUAGGCCAGUGCAUGGUGAUCUUGCCUAGUGUCUGGAUGGACUUCACACUCGUCCCCAGCCAUCAAAGACUGGGGUGCUCUGCCGCUAAUGGUUUCUGGGAUUUCUAUAGGACAUGGCCGCUUUGGGAUCAUUUCUCUUUUGAGCACCGCACUAUUCUUGCCGUAGAUAGCACUCAGGAACAAAGGCUGAGUCAGCCACCCAGAGUCCUCGGAGCUCUGAAACACAAGUUAUGCAAGGUCCUGGCUCCUGGCAGCAGAGCUUCUCUAGGGCGACUGGCUGGGGCCGAGGGCGCUGAGGCGUUCCUUGCAGAGCCAUUAUUUUGACACCUUUUUGUUUUCUUUUGGAGAACAAGUUUAUCUCCCUGCUUCAUGACUGAGACGAAAAGUGAUGGUGAUUGGGGGCACCCUCUCUCCCUUGGAGAGUCACUGUUGGAUGAGUCCUCUGCCCUUUUGCUUCUCUCUGUAGCUCACUGACUUGGGUACUGCUCCUACAACAGCUUCCAGAAGCAUUCACAUGCACAAAUGUGCGACCCCAGCCAGCAGUUUAAGCUCCUUAAGCUGUUUUAAAAAAACAAAAAAACCUUCUGCUUUGGUUUGUCCUGUGCAGCCCUGGGGCGGCAUCGGCAUCACUGGUGAACUUACCACUAUUCUCGGCACUGUGGUGGCCGAUGGGCUGGUUCUGGAGACUUGGGCAGAAGGAUUUAGCAUUGUUAGGCAGCUCAGACAUAUUGGAAAGUCCAUUGUGGCCUGAGUUUUAAAUUCCAAUUUUUUUUUCUUGGCUUGGGACCUUAGGGGCUUGGAGUUUUCCUGAGACCGGUGCCGUGGCUGAAUGCGCUGUGCUGUGAAUUGAAUGGAACAACGCUUUGAGGCCCUUAGAGAGUGACUGCAGCUGCAGGGUGGGCUCAGGAGCCUUGGGCCCCACUGCCUCUGAACCUGCAUGCGUGCAGUCCCAUGCGCCUGGCUUUCCCCUGCACCAGGUGCAGGCUGCUGGUGUAGUCCCCUGCCUGCUCACAGCUGGUCCCCUAGCCUUUCCUCUCUGGCAUUGUAGUAUCAUGGGCCACCCUCGGCUCCUUUAUUCAUAGUCAGGCCUAUGAACCAUGCUGGACUAAGUAUGCUGAACUGUCCCUUCAUCAGGAUACUCGAGGGGAGAAAGGCCAUUCCAACAAGCGCCAGAGUGAGAGGGCUGGCAUGGCAUCGCUCACUUACUGCUCUGCAGGUAAAGCACAUGGGUAGAGAGCCUCCAGCGCUCGGAAGAGCCCUGCCACUGCACACUGGCAAAGGGCUCGCUCACGUAUCAGUACAGCCCUCCCAACUCCACACUCAGCAGGGAUGCACUGGACUGCUGAUGUCGGGCAGGGCACAUCUCAGUUUUCUAUCCCCUUCCCACCAGAGGGAAAAGGAGCAUGAACUUUAAUGUCUUUUGGAACAAAACCAAAGUUUAAGGUUUGCCAUAUGAUCAGUGACAGGGAAGCCCAGAGCCGGCCAGCAGGUGCCAGAUUUUCUGUCCCACUGGCCAGUCCUGCACCAGGUGCAGGCUGCUCUGGGCUUGUUGAAACCACAGAUGCAGGUGGGUUUCGUGGUUCCAUUCGUUAUAUCAUUAAGAAUUGGAGCAUUAACUUGAAACUGUCUUCAAAGACUUGCUGUGUGCACUGUCUCACACUACUACAUUCUCUGCAUCUGUUUAUAUAAGAUAACACAAGCCAAUCUGUACCUUUAUAUAUAUAUAUGUGUGUGUGUACAUAUAUACAUGUAUAAACUGUAUAGUGUACAUGUUAAUGACUUAUCAGUAUGCCCCGAAUUUUUAGUGCAGUUCUCAUCCUCCGCAUGCCCUCAGCUGUGGUCAGGUGACCUCCUGUCCCCUGGUGGCUCAGCCGAGUCCCUGUGUUUGAGCCUCCAGGGAGAAGGGUUGGGGCUGCAUUCUCCUUAUCCCCAUGCACAGAAACGCUCAGGGUCCCCACGUGCCUGUUGUCCUCCCCUCUGGUCUUCUGUUCCCUUUCUGAGCAUGUGGCCCUUCCCCCGGCUGUGAGGGGCGGCUGCCUUCCUGGGAGAGCAGGAUCAAGACCACCACUGCAUGUGUACUGAAAACUCCGGACUUCUGCCCUCUUGGGACAGAACAUUGCAUGUGAGGUGGGAUUAUCAAGUUUCAAAAACCUGUGUCAAUUAUACAGCAAAGCCAGACCACAUAACGACAUCCCACAAAAUGGAAAUAAAACGCAAAAUCUCUUUAGCAUUGUGUAAAUAAAUCUGGACGUGUUUAACUUUGUACUGGUAAUUUUCUGUAUAUUUGCAAUAUUUGGGUUAGAAAUAAAACAGCCUGGACUUUGGUACCUAACCUAC